rnacentral:lncRNA from 1 species
AGGCAUACCAUUUAUUCAUAUUCAUAUCUAUUGAAAUACUGUACAUCCACAUACUUCAAUAAAUAGUUAAAAACCUGACCUCUUUUUAAAUCAUUUCUGGAUUUCAAAAAACAAUUUUUAUUGAAAAGAUUAAAUAGGUAACUUUUGGCUGUGUCACAAAGCUAAGCACAAUGGAUAAAUUAACAAUUAUUCAGUAAAUUUGAUCAUUGUAGAUGAAUGACUUUGAUAAUUUAGUUUUUCAGAGUAUUUUGACUUCAAACAUAGGGGUAUUUAUAUAUAUAUAUGUGUGUGUGUAUAUAUAUAUAUAUGUUUGGGGUUUUUUUGCCCUGAAUUGUCUGGGUAAUUUUCUCAGUUCUCCAGUCUACUUUCUAGAUAUAGCUUAAACAUUAUGAUGAAGCAUUAAUUUUUCAGUUAAGUCAUAAACCCCCCAAAAGCGGCUUUACAUUUGAAAUUCUCUCUCUCAAAUCUCUUAGUGUCUCAAAAACACUCACAUUACUAUAACUUGGGCAAACUUUUUAUUAUAUAAUUGCUGCAUAAUAGGAACUCAAUGGUAUAAUAGGACUUACGUUUCAAAUGUGCUCAUUGUAAAACAUAAUUACACCACUUGCAGUUAAACUAAGAAUGCAAAUGUGUAAGUUAACUACCCUAACACUCUGAUUCUUCCUUCCCUCUCAUCCUUUCUUUCUCCCUGCCUUCUUCCCUUCCUUCCUUCAUGCCUUCCACCCUUCCUUUUUUCCUCUUUACUGCCUUUCCUUUUCAUUCUUUUUCUUUUCUCUCCAUUCUCAUUUUUAAACUGCUACUUAUUUUUCUUUCUCCCUUCUUUAAAAAAAUAGGGGCAACAAAAGGAGUCCCACAAAUGGAACCUGUAGAAAAUAUAAUCCUGAAAUGAACAGCUAACAAAACUUGUUAUAGAUUAAAAGAUAAAUCAAUUUAUAAAACUGCUAUUCUGAAAUUGCAACAAUCUUGUACAGUCAGGACUGAUAAAAUGGAGUAAUCAGACAUUUUAUAUGUCCAUAAAUGUAAAAUCAUCUACUUGAACAUUAUAUGCAAUACAUUCACACAAUAAAGCAAAUACUGUAGCCUUAUUUGACAAUAUUGAACUCAUAAAUACUCAUGAUUUCACUCUGUCCGAGGGCCUAAGGACUAGGAAUGCUGCUGUGAUACAGAAAAACAUAGUGAAUACCUCCUCUAUUUAAAAAUGUCACUCAAGAAAGUCUCUUCUAACAUAAAGGCAAAUACAUAUAGCUACUGAGCUAUGACUGUACUUCUGUCACAUUCUAUGGUAAAAACACCAGACUCCACAAAUUCGGAAUCAUGACAACACUUUGAACUAAUUAUUUGGUUCAUCCAUAGUUUAUACCUCAAUUUACCUACAAACCUUACAAAGAGGAGGUAUUUUAAUUCUAGGAAAGCGGUCACUGAAUAAUACGCAUUCUUGAUCUGUUUCUUUCUCCCAAACAAUGGUAGUGAUGGUUAACAUUUUCUGUGGUAGCACCACUAUUUCUAGUAAGUAGAUUAUUAUGGAGUGUGCCACUUUAAAGCUGCAAUACAAAAUAAUAUUUUGUAGUUUAUUCACCAAUUCCACAAAGAAUAUUUUUUAAAAGCAAAUAAAUAAUAAAGUUAAAUGCCAUAUUUGUUCUAAAAACUCUUUUUUAAUGUAUCAAUCAAAAUAAUGUCAUACAUUUAUUAUAGUUAGUAGAUUUACUAGCUUUAUGCCUUAUCAUUACG